UACGUAGGUGGCAAGCGUUGUCCGGAUUUACUGGGCGUAAAGGAUGCGUAGGCGGACAUUUAAGUCAGAUGUGAAAUACCCGAGCUUAACUUGGGUGCUGCAUUUGAAACUGGGUGUCUAGAGUGCAGGAGAGGUAAGUGGAAUUCCUAGUGUAGCGGUGAAAUGCGUAGAGAUUAGGAAGAACACCAGUGGCGAAGGCGACUUACUGGACUGUAACUGACGCUGAGGCAUGAAAGCGUGGGAAGCAAACAGG
rnacentral:rRNA from 1 species